UACGUAGGCGGAAAAUUAAGUCAGUAGUGAAAUCCUGCAGCUUAACUGUAGAACUGUUAUUGAUACUGGUUUUCUUGAAUAUAGUUGAGGUAGGCGGAAUGUGUAAUGUAGCGGUGAAAUGCUUAGAUAUUACACAGAACACCGAUUGCGAAGGCAGCUUACUAAGCUAUGAUUGACGCUGAGGUACGAAAGCGUGGGGAGCGAACAGGAUUAGAUACCCUGGUAGUCCU
rnacentral:rRNA from 1 species